GGUAUGAUUGACAAUGAGACAACUAUCCACAAAAGACCAAAAUGACACAGACAUUAACAACUGUAGGUCACCAUACGGUCUUCAACAAUGAGCAAAGCCCAUACCACAUAGUCAGCUAUAAAAGGCCCCGAUAAGACAAUGUAAAACAAUUCAAACGAGAAAACUAACGGCCUUAUUUAUGUAAAAAAAUGAACGAAAAACAAAUAUGUAACACAUAAACAAACAACAAC
rnacentral:lncRNA from 1 species